GACGGAGGAGGCUAGCGUUGUUCGGAAUUACUGGGCGUAAAGCGCGCGCGGGCGGUUAUGCAAGUCAGGGGUGAAAGCCCGAGGCUCAACCUCGGAACGGCCUUUGCGACUGCAUGACUUGAGUCCGGUAGGGGAGUGUGGAAUUCCUGGUGUAGCGGUGAAAUGCGCAGAUAUCAGGAGGAACACCGGCGGCGAAGGCGGCACUCUGGGCCGGUACUGACGCUGAGGAGCGAAAGCGUGGGUAGCAAACAGG
rnacentral:rRNA from 1 species